GACGAACGCUGGCGGCGUGCCUAAUACAUGCAAGUCGAGCGAGACUCUUCGGAGUCUAGCGGCGGACGGGUGAGUAACACGUGGGCAACCUGCCUGUAAGACUGGGAUAACACCGGGAAACCGGUGCUAAUACCGGAUAAUCCUUUUCCUCUCAUGAGGAAAAGCUGAAAGUCGGUUUCGGCUGACACUUACAGAUGGGCCCGCGGCGCAUUAGCUAGUUGGUGAGGUAACGGCUCACCAAGGCGACGAUGCGUAGCCGACCUGAGAGGGUGAUCGGCCACACUGGGACUGAGACACGGCCCAGACUCCUACGGGAGGCAGCAGUAGGGAAUCUUCCACAAUGGACGAAAGUCUGAUGGAGCAACGCCGCGUGAGCGAUGAAGGCCUUCGGGUCGUAAAGCUCUGUUGUUAGGGAAGAACAAGUACCAGAGUAACUGCCGGUACCUUGACGGUACCUAACCAGAAAGCCACGGCUAACUACGUGCCAGCCGCCGCUGUAAGAC
rnacentral:rRNA from 1 species